AAGUCAUGAUUUGGGCAAAGAUUAACAAGUUUAGAAAAUCUCCCCCAAGCUUGAGCUAAACCUUCUCCAAUCUUUUGGACAAAGGCGGACAUUUCUUGUCUAAGUUG